ACAGAGGCCUCGAGCGUUAGGCGGAAUCACUGGGCUUAAAGCGCGUGUAGGCGGGUCGUUAAGUACCUUGUGAAAUCCCACGGCUCAACCGUGGAACUGCUGGGUAUACUGGCGAUCUUGGGCCAUCUAGGGGUUGCCGGAACAAGCGGUGGAGCGGUGAAAUGCGUAGAUAUCGCUUGGAACGCCAAAGGUGAAGACAGGCAACUGGAGAUGCGCCGACGCUGAGACGCGAAAGCCAGGGGAGCGAACGGGA
rnacentral:rRNA from 1 species